rnacentral:piRNA from 1 species
UCUGAAGAGAAUAGCGUCCUUAGA